AGAGUGAGACUCCGUCUCAAGAAAAAAAAAAAAAAGGAGUAGAUAAAUAAUGGUUCACCUACCUAUCCCUACCAAUGACUUAAUUUCCAGCUUAACGCCUGGGGCUCUGUUUCUGAAAAACAGACCUAGGCCGUCUAAUCUGGACUCUGUCAUUGUAACAAAAAUUGAAGUCACUCUCAGGACCCCUCCAGGGUGGAUCAGGAUCAAACCAGACUCCUCAACUAGCUAGCACUAAUCUGCACUUCUAGGUCCAGAUGGAAACACAAUUGUUCUGUUCCAACCAUCUACAUUCAGCUUGAUGUGAAACUACCAUAUAGACUGUCUAGUUAACCAUGGUCAGACAGUAACAGCUGGCUAUUCUACCUCACGUGAUCUCAAAUGAAAAUGUCCAUGCCCCAAUUGCCUAAUCUGCACCACUUUUCUCCCUCCUUCAGGCAAGAAAGGAGCCCAGACGCCACUGCUACUAGCUCUGCCCUUGGUGCUGAAUCAUAAUCUCUCCUCUAUUUUGAUCUCAGGCUUAGAAUCAGUAAUACAAUAUACACAGAUGAGUCCUUUUCCUGGUAUACAUUACAGAGGCUAUGAAUUAGAGGCAGAAAUACUAGGAUUUCUGCAAGGACAGGGAGAGGUGCUCAGAGAAAUUCCCAAACUAUGUCCUAAAAUUAGGAAAAGCUUUCAUGGUCUUAAUUAUACUUUAUUUCCUGUUAAGUGUCUAUACACUUCUCUAAAUAAAACGUUUCACCCUGCUGCACAGCUAUUUCUAGUAGGGCUAUUUCUUCUAUGAGUGGAAGUUCUUUUCUCAUAUUUCUAGUGUUCCAGGAUUCUACCUCUGUGCUCUGCAUGUGGCCUAAGACCUUGUUCAAUGCACACGAAGAGAAACCCGUUAUCGUAUACACAUACACACCCCCUACUCCCUCACCUGCUGCUGCUGCGGGCACCCCCAUAUAUACAGACAUACACACUCCCUGGAUGCUUAAGGCCCUAUUUGGUUUAGGUAAUGAGUAGAAGUUUUUUCUCCCCUACCUAAUAAUAAACAAGACCUAUUUGCAAUACCUCUGGAAUCCUCAAAAUACUGCUUUCUCCUUUCCCUUGCUCCCCACAGAGGACCUGCAGGUAAUAGGAUUCAGUUUUAUCUCCAUAGCGACUCUGGCUCCCAACACUAUUUAUAGCAGAGCCACAGCCCCUCCCCUGCUUGGUGACCGCACACUGCUAGCAGCUGCUACUCCAGGGUCGGCCAAGGCCCAUAACAAUUCACUCUCCUCGAACCUAGAGACACUUCUCCCACUGACAGUACCUGCUAAGAAUUAGCAUCCAGUUCAAAAUGCAUAUCUAUCUGCUGAAGUCCGACAUCACCAUCAGCUCCACCCAGAGGAUCUCAUAGUAAAACCACAGGAACCAGAGAGCGAUAUGACAUCUCUGCUGACGUGAACACAACGGGAGGCUCUCCUCCCCUCCUCUACCUCCCCAGGCAGUGACCUUGCAAGCUCAUCAGCACAGACUGGUCCAGCGUACGGGAGAACUGGAGCAAGGAGGCUGGCAGCUGGCAGGGUUGGGGUGGAGGGGAGGGCAGGGAAAGGUGGAAGAAGGUAGAUACACGAGGAUGGGGAGGAGAGCCAUUGCAGACAGAUGAAAUGGUGUUCUCUCUCCAGCAAGUCAAUUUUGAAACAUCAAGUUAAAAAAAAAAAUUCUUGAGAA